GACGAACGCUGGCGGCAGGCCUAACACAUGCAAGUCGAGCGAGCGGCGGACGGGUGAGUAAUGUCUGGGAAACUGCCUGAUGGAGGGGGAUAACUACUGGAAACGGUAGCUAAUACCGCAUACCAUCAGAUGUGCCCAAAUGGGAUUAGCUAGUAGGUGGGGUACCGGCUCACCUAGGCGACGAUCCCUAGCUGGUCUGAGAGGAUGACCAGCCACACUGGAACUGAGACACGGUCCAGACUCCUACGGGAGGCAGCAGUGGGGAAUAUUGCACAAGGGGCGCAAGCCGGAUGCAGCCAUGCCGCGUGUGUGAAGAAGGCCUUCGGGUUGUAAAGCACUUUCAGCGGGGAGGCGUUACCCGCAGAAGAAGCACCGGCUAACUCCGUGCCUGCCGCCGGGGUAAUAC
rnacentral:rRNA from 1 species